rnacentral:rRNA from 1 species
CCCAAAAACCAAAAAGUGUGGAUAGGGGGUACCCCAAGUGGUCAAUUUGAACUGGGGGAGGUGAGUAAUGUCCCCUACUAGAAAGGAGAGGGCAAGGGUGGUGCCAGCCGCCGCGGUAAAACCAGCUCUUCAAGUGGUCGGGAUAAUUAUUGGGCUUAAAGUGUCCGUAGCCGGUUUAGUAAGUUCCUGGUAAAAUCGGGUAGCUUAACUAUCUGCAUGCUAGGAAUACUGCUAUACUAGAGGGCGGGAGAGGUCUGAGGUACUACAGGGGUAGGGGUGGAAUCUUAUAAUCCUUGUAGGACCACCAGUGGCGAAGGCGUCAGACUGGAACGCGCCUGACGGUGAGGGACGAAAGCCAGGGGAGCGAACCGGAUUAGAUACCCGGGUAGUCCUGGCCGUAAACGAUGUAUACUAGGUGAUGGUACGGCCAUGAGCCGUAUCAGUGCCGUAGGGAAACCGUUAAGUGUGCCGCCUGGGAAGUACGGUCGCAAGGCUAAAACUUAAAGGAAUUGGCGGGGGA